rnacentral:rRNA from 1 species
GAUGAACGCUGGCGGCGUGCCUAAUACAUGCAAGUCGAGCGGUAACACUUCGGGUGACGAGCGGCGGACGGCUGAGUAACGCGUAGGAAUGUACCCCAGAGUGAGGGAUAAGCACCGGAAACGGUGUCUAAUACCGCAUAAUCUCUUCGGAGCAAAGCUUUUAGCGCUUUGGGAACGGCCUGCGUAUGAUUAGCUUGUUGGUGAGGUAAAAGCUCACCAAGGCGAUGAUCAUUAGCUGGUCUGAGAGGAUGAUCAGCCAGACUGGGACUGAGACACGGCCCAGACUCCUACGGGAGGCAGCAGUAGGGAAUUUUCCACAAUGGACGAAAGUCUGAUGGAGCAACGCCGCGUGCAGGAUGAAGGCCUUCGGGUUGUAAACUGCUUUUAUUUGUGACGAUUAUGACGGUAGCAGAUGAAUAAGGAUCGGCUAACUCCGUGCCAGCCGCCGCCGUAA